rnacentral:tRNA from 1 species
AGCUCGGUAGCUUAGUUGGUAAAGCACUUGUCUAGCGUAUGAGAUUCGUGAGUUCAAAUCUCAUAUGUCCUG